rnacentral:rRNA from 1 species
AGAGUUUGAUCCUGGCUCAGAGCGAACGCUGGCGGCGUGCUUAACACAUGCAAGUCGAACGCGCAGCAUUCUGUAGCAAUACAGGGUGUGGGCGCGUGGCGAACGGGUGCGUAACACGUGGAUAACCUUCCUUCAGGUGGGGAAUAACCCAGUGAAAACUGGGCUAAUACCGCAUAACAUGACGAUGGCACAUGCUGUUGUCUUCAAAGGCGCAAGUCGCCAGAAGAGGGAUCCGCGGCCGAUUAGCUUGUUGGCGAGGUAAUGGCUCACCAAGGCAUUGAUCGGUAGCCGGACUGAGAGGUUGGCCGGCCACACUGGAACUGAGACACGGUCCAGACUCCUACGGGAGGCAGCAGUGGGGAAUCUUGCACAAUGGACGAAAGUCUGAUGCAGCAACGCCGCGUGGGGGAUGAAGCUUCUCGGAGUGUAAACCCCUUUCGACCCG